CCUACGGGUGGCAGCAGUGGGGAAUAUUGGACAAUGGGGGGAACCCUGAUCCAGCCAUGCCGCGUGUGUGAAGAAGGCCCUCGGGUUGUAAAGCACUUUCAGUGAGGAAGAACGCCUGGUGGUUAAUACCCAUCAGGAAAGACAUCACUCACAGAAGAAGCACCGGCUAACUCCGUGCCAGCAGCCGCGGUAAUACGGAGGGUGCGAGCGUUAAUCGGAAUUACUGGGCGUAAAGCGCGCGUAGGUGGCUUGAUAAGCCGGUUGUGAAAGCCCCGGGCUCAACCUGGGAACGGCAUCCGGAACUGUCAAGCUAGAGUGAAGGGGAGGAAGGUAGAAUUCCCGGUGUAGCGGUGAAAUGCGUAGAGAUCGGGAGGAAUACCAGUGGCGAAGGCGGCCUUCUGGACUGACACUGACACUGAGGUGCGAAAGCGUGGGUAGCAAACAGGAUUAGAUACCCGGGUAGUC
rnacentral:rRNA from 1 species